rfam:Trichuris suis scaffold25.4, whole genome shotgun sequence.
GGCCGCGUGACGUUACGGACAACGCGUCUGACUUCGGCGCAGAAGAUUGCACGUUCGCGUCCUGCCGCGGUCG